UGAGCGACCUACCUAAUUGUGGGGGAUAGCCGGCCCAACGGCCGGGUAAUACCGCAUACGAUCGGAGAGGGGCAUCCCUUUCUGAGGAAAGCCUUCGGGCGCAAUUUGAGGGGCUCGCGGCCUAUCAGCUAGUUGGCGGGGUAACGGCCCACCAAGGCGACGACGGGUAGCUGGUCUGAGAGGAUGGCCAGCCACAUUGGGACUGAGACACGGCCCAGACUCCUACGGGAGGCAG
rnacentral:rRNA from 1 species